GGGGAGGGGGCGACCCGAUGUGGCGGGGAGGAGUAGGAGAGACCAGGAUUGGCGGGAGCGGUCCAAGGGAGUCAGCCGGGGAGGGCGAAAAGGGUGGGGAAAUCAGGGGCAUGGGGGCGUGGGGGCGUGGAGGCGUGGGGGCGGGGGGAGUGAGCGGAACCAAAGAAGCUCCGGGAGAUCCGGGUGUUAAAAGCUGGUUGGAUGUGAGUGGAAGGAACUCAGAAUAUAGGAGGAAGGAGACCCGAAACGGCACCGGAGGGAUUAUAAAAAAAAGGAAAAGAAUGGGGAUGAUGGUGGCCUUCCCUUCAGUGAGUGGGCUCUGGGAGAAAGGGAGGAGGAUCCAUCAGGCCUAGGCGGUUGAAGAAGGUUAAGAACCUUUUGGAGAUGGAGGAGGAACCUGGCCACUGCUCCUUGGUCCUUGGCAUUAUGACGGGAUUCCCUUGUCACCUCUGACAGUUCCUGGCUGCGGUGUCCGCGGACUGGCUGGGGAGUGAUGACAGGUAGCCAUCAGAGCUCCAGCCUCCAGGCAGCUUUAGGGAUUAAAACGGAGGCCAAAGCAACUCCAGACCUGUUUUUAUAGCCAAAUACUGAGCCUCAGUGGUUGUACACUCAGGGGCUUCCAGGAAAAUGCCAGCCUUACUUUUCUGGGGUGCCUUUUAAUAACCUCCAAGCACUUUAUGGACUGUUUGUCGAGGGACGGUGAAUCAGGAGAAUCACUAUUCUGAUUUCCUUUGUCUCCGAAGAGGAAGUCCCUGACUAGCUAUAUAACUUUGGGCAAGUUACCUCUCACCUCUUUGUGCCCCAGUGUUCUCCUUGGGAAACUGGAUUUAGGUUAGAUGAUCUUUUAAGGCUCCUUGUAUGAUAUUUUGUGAUCUGUGCAUGGCAGAGUAUAGAUUAGAAGCCACAUUUUCCAACCUAGUGCUAUAGUUCAGAAUACAUAGCACCCCAAGCGUCUGGCUGGAGCCGAGGAUGGGUCCUCCAGUUUUUGGCACAGAUGUUCCGGAGCCCAGGAAGCAUCCCAUAACCAACCUUCAGCCCCACCGCCACCCCCAGCGUAUUCCAGAGCCGCUUCCAAACCACAGCCUAUCCUCUGCUCCAUUUCGCUCUUGCCCUCACAGACUUGCAGCCUCCAUGCUCUGAGACAACUGUGCGUAGGUACAUCUCUGUUGGUGAAAAUGAUGCUUAAGAACCCCAAAGAUUAAAGGAAACAAUGUUAAGGGCUUUUGUGAGGAUAAAAGAUAAUGGGUAUAUGGAAUAGAAACAUUUCAAAUGAAGAAUCAAAGCAUUUCAAUCAAUCCACUUGGUUGUAAAAAAACAAACAAACAAACAAAAACAAAAAAACACCAAAGCAACUUGAAUAGUAAAUGGCACCAGAAGAUGGCGGUCUGCUCCAUAACCAGAGCAAGUGCAGUGGGAAAGCUGGACUCUCAUACCCACUCACAUUCAUGCCUUAUAUAAGCCUCUCCUCCUGGUUAACCUUAGCAGGGGAGUGAUUCCUCUGCUGGUUGCUGUUUUUCCUUUUCUCUUACCCUAUUCCUAACCUCUUUGCUUCUCUCUUUCUUUCCUUGUGUCUCUUCCU
rnacentral:lncRNA from 1 species